UGGGAGUGUGAGCACCUGCCUUUUUGAGCCUGAGAAACUCAUAAGGAGAAGAGGGUUGAGAAAAGGCAGAGGGAGACACAACUGUUAUCUUGACAUUCAUGUCAUAUGGAAAACUGAAGGAGCAGAGGGAGGCAUUUAUUUCCAGAAGAGGUCAGAGAGCAUAAUCAGGGGACAGAGACUAAAUAUUUGGCUUUCUUAGAAGACUGGGUUUUUAUUAAAGAGGUGGUUCUCCUUUCAAAUUAGUCUUAUGUCUCCCAAGAAAGACAUCAUG
rnacentral:lncRNA from 1 species